AUUGCAUGGAGAUGCUGCAGUGCCGCCACCACCCAACGGCCGGAGCCCCCAGCAAAGAGUUUUCCACAAAAUGGGAGAAAAGUAUAAGAAGCUCUUCCUGCUAUGGGUAAGGUAGUGAAAUUACAAGUCAUUCACUAAAUAUAAAUUCAAAUGUAAAGAUAUAUGUGAUUCUUGAAUAUAUGAAAUGUGUUCAGAUAGUCUUUCAAGGAGCCCAGCUGCCUGACCCCUAUAAGGACCCCAGGACACUGUCCUCUGGAGUGGAGCUGUAUUUGAUGUGUGUUUAUCCAUCACUAGACUGUAAGUGACAGAUAAAUCUUACAACAGGGCUCAUGUCUGCUUUAUCUUCAUUUUAUCUCCAGAGCCCCAAUACAAUGCUUCGUACCUAGAAGGCUCUCAGAAACAGAAAUCUGGUGAAUUAGUUAAAUUAUAUGCUUCUCUGCCCUCUGCCCUCCAUAAGAAAAAAAGAAAAGACCUAUAAAAGGCAUUCUGAACACUGGAGUUUGGCUCCUGUUUACCAUGUACAUCUAGAGAAGUGUACAAUUCG
rnacentral:lncRNA from 10 species